rnacentral:lncRNA from 1 species
CAGCAUUUGUGCAUAUAGAUGGUGCUAGGAAUUGGACCUAGGUCCUUGUACACCCUAGGCAAGCACAUGGUCAGUCUUUAAACCGGAAUUGUAAAGGACAUUUUCCUCUUGCCUCUGUGAGCUCCCAGUUUAAAACCUUUCUCCCAGCAGGGCACUGUGCCUCAGGCCCCCAAUCCCAGCUACUUAGGAGGCAGAGGAAGGAGGUUGGCAAGUUCGAGGUCAGCCUAGGCAACUAAGUAUUGCCCUGUCUUAAAAAAUAAAAUACAAUAAUAAAAAUAGCUAGGGAUAUAGCUCAGUAGAACACAUUUUUAAAUGGAGUCACCUUGCUGUGCUAUAGAAAGAACAUCAGAACUUACUCCUCCUAUCUAACAAACUUUGUGUCCAUUGAUCAAUGUCUCUCCUUUUCUAUUUACUCUCACACUCCAAAUCCAGCCUCUGUUAACCACUAUGUACUUUCUUCUUCU